GAGAUCCAUCAUGGAAUAAGAAAGAAGACAGAUGAAAGAAGUUGGUUGUUAAGAGCCUCUGAAAACUCGCUUUUUGAAUGGAUGUGUCCUCUAGAAGUUCCAGCAGAUUACGUUACUUGGUAUCUGGCCAAAUUGACAUGUCUAAUGCCCUCUGCUCUCUGACAGUCUGAAUAAAGCCAUAGAGUGGGCCUGCAGCUGAUAAAAGGGAUACGGCAUCCUGAUUCCCAGGAGCCAGCUGCAGAAUUCAUUAUCUUCCUGCUCAGGUGUCUAGCAUCCCUUCUUGAGAGAAUGACAGCCAUUCCUUUAUGAGAAGAAAAUACAAUUAUCCUGUUGUUUGUUUUUAAAAUUUUUCUAUCUUUUGUGAUGCUGUUCUCCCAUCAAGAGUUUUAAAAAUUGUAUUGUAUUGUGUUGUGUUUUAAACUGUGUGCACCACCUUGGAUCCUGUGCUAUUAGACAGACAGGAUAUAAAAUAAAUGAAUGAAUAAUUAAAUAAAUAAUCAUUAUGAAGAAAUAUGUAAAAAAGCAUAUACUAGGGAACAGCGAUUGCCAGAAUGUGUAUGUCAGGAAACAUGUGUAGAGCAAUGUAUAUAAAAACAUAUUUUAAACAUCCAGAGACAGAUAAAGGAAUGGGAUGGGAUAACAGUGUGCCUGAAAGAACCUUUAUGUUACAGAAAGCAAGACAGACAGAUUUGCCUGUUAUCCACACUUUACUUUAGAGUCAGCUUGCGCCAUUAAUCAUUCUGAACUACUUUGCUCUUUUCAGAGAAAAUAACAUGGAUCACAGAUUCACCUCUAUUUUUUAAUGAGGAGAAAACCCUGAUGUUCAAGAGAAAUAAUUUCUUACACUUUCUAUCGACAGGACAUUAAAAACAUUAUUGAAAACCAAGCCUACACCAAGAACUACUUCUGAAUAGGCAUAUAUAGGAUAGUGCUGUAAAAUUUCAAUCCAGCACACAUUAGUCCUACUAGACAUAUGCAACUCGUAUUCAAGAAAGGACUGCAUUGUAAAAAUGUAAAGACGUGUCCUCUACCGUCUAGAAGAGAGGGAGGAGAUCAAUAGGCUUAAACAAAGGAGGAUAGGCCUUGUACAUUUAUUGUUUUCAGCAGAUGGACAGCCAUCUGCUAGAGAUAUUCAAGGUUUGGACUUCAUUGAAAAGGUUAGACUACAUGGCCUAUAUGAUACCUUAAACUCUAUGACUCUACUGAGUAUUUUGAUCCAUUCCAUCUGGCAGUCUUCUGUCUCAAAUAAACUCUUGAUGGUUUCACUACAUUACAAAUGACCAUGAAAGUUGGCUGUUUGUG